UUGCAGAAACCGACACAGUCAAUCAGUCAGGAGAAUACAAAUUCAGUGCCAGGUGGACCAAAGUCAUGGGCACAGCUGAAUGGAAAGCCAGUAGGACACGAAGG
rnacentral:sRNA from 1 species